rnacentral:lncRNA from 1 species
AUGGAUAGUACAGACAGGGCCAUCAAUUUCAGCAAGAAGUCGGGUUUACAAGAGAAAGCAGAUGAUAAAGGAGGAUACAUGCCAGCAUAUUCUGGGAAGGACUUGACAUCUACAGAAAAGUGGCAGCAUUUCCCAUUGGAAAAACACCCAGGAGCUGUCUCCUGGUGCUGGUGGCAUGGUCUCUCCAGUGGCACAAGAAUGCAACCAAGAUUGGAAGAAGUUGAGAAGGACAUAAUCAUGGAGGACACAAAGGCUAGGCUUUGAAGGACUAGUAGGAAAUUGGGAAAGCAGCAGGAUGGGAAGAGAGCAUUCUACAUAUUCUGGGGAAAGAUGUUGGAAUGAAGGCAGCAGAGGGACAAGGACAAAAAUACGGUGAGUUUGGGUAGAAGUGCAGUGUUGGAAAUAGAAGGAAUGUAAGAUGAUAUUGCAGAAUUCAGGGGUACAAGAAGCCAAAUUACAAGUAGUUGAGACUGAAAAGGACAGUUGAGAUUGAGCAUAACUUUGGUUAAAACCCUUUUUGUAAUGACCACACAUUGAUAUGUUUUCGACAAAAAGUGACAUACUAGGGACUAUUCUUGGAAAAUGAAUUUUUAUUGUACCAUCAACCAGAAUACAAGGGUGUUAGAAGAUAGACAAAAUGGAGUUAAGGUGGGAAACGGGAUAAAUUUUUUGCCUUGCAACUUAGAAACAGAUGACAAGAAAAUAAAUAAAGUUGAUUAGGUAAAUUGGAACUUAAAAAUUGUGUGCUGGUGACUAUAACAGUAAAUGAAGUUGCUU